AGGAACUGUAAGGAGUAAUAUUUUAUUUGGGAAGAAAUAUGAAAAAGACCGAUAUGAAGAAGUAAUAAAGGCUUGUGCUUUGGGAAAGGAUUUACAGCUUCUGGAGAAUGGAGAUCAAACUGUGAUAGGAGACAGAGGAACCCCGCUGAGUGAAGGCCAGAAAGCCCGGGUCAGCCUUGCCAGAGCCGUGUAUCAGGAUGCAGACAUUUACCUCCUGGAUGAUCCAUUCAGUGCAGUGGAUGCAGGAGUCAGCAGGCACUUGUU